CCUCAGCAAGGGGACGCCGAGUUGCUCAGCUGUGGGUUACUGCACUCUCAAAACAAGGCUGGAAAGGGCCCAUCAGAGGAUGAAUCCAGAAGGCUGUGUGGAUAACCCUGAACACACGAGCCAACACCAACGGAUGCACCACAUCUGCAGAGACCCAGAACACUGGCACCCAGAGCCGUGACCUUCUCCCUGGGAUAUGAAGCCCUCCAUCACAAAUCUGCACACCUCCUCAUGGCCUGCAUUCAACCAGAGCCUCCCUCCAGCUCCUGAUGGAAGGUGGCUGCUGUUGGAGCACUUGGCC